GUCAGCAGGCAGAUCCAAUUUUCUGCCACCGAAUACAUUAGCAUGGGAUAAUGGAAUAGGACCCUGUCCUCCUAUUUUCAGUUGGUUUUGGCAGCGCGAGGACUAGGGUAAUGAUUAAUAGGGAUAGUUGGGGGCAUUAAUAUUUAAUUGUCAGAGGUGAAAUUCUUGGAUUUAUGAAAGAUUAACUUCUGCGAAAGCAUCUGCCAAGGAUGUUUUCAUUAAUCAAGAACGAAAGUUAGGGGAUCGAAGACGAUCAGAUACCGUCGUAGUCUUAACCAUAAACGAUGCCGACCAGCGAUUAGGAGACGUUGAAUACAAAACACCACCAUCGGCGCGGUCGUCCUUGGCGUGUCUCGGCUUCACGGCCGGGGCGCGCGAGGGCGGUUUAGCCCGGUGGCACCGGUGAA
rnacentral:rRNA from 1 species